rnacentral:rRNA from 1 species
UACAGAGGUCUCAAGCGUUGUUCGGAUUCAUUGGGCGUAAAGGGUGCGUAGGCGGCGCGGUAAGUCGGGUGUGAAAUCUCGGAGCUUAACUCCGAAACUGCAUUCGAUACUGCCGUGCUUGAGGACUGGAGAGGAGACUGGAAUUUACGGUGUAGCGGUGAAAUGCGUAGAUAUCGUGAGGAACACCAGAGGCGAAGGCGGCUACCUGGACAAUUGCUGACGCUCAGGCACGAAAGCGUGGGGAGCAAAGGG